GAUGAACGCUAGCUACAGGCUUAACACAUGCAAGUCGAGGGGCAGCACAGUGUAGCAAUACAUGGGUGGCGACCGGCGCACGGGUGCGUAACGCGUAUCCAACCUUCCCGAUACUCAGGGAUAGCCUUCCGAAAGGGAGAUUAAUACCUGAUGGUGUUCAAAUUCCGCAUGUUAUUUGAACUAAAGAUUUAUCGGUAUCGGAUGGGGAUGCGUGACAUUAGAUAGUAGGCGGGGUAACGGCCCACCUAGUCUACGAUGUCUAGGGGUUCUGAGAGGAAGGUCCCCCACACUGGAACUGAGACACGGUCCAGACUCCUACGGGAGGCAGCAGUGAGGAAUAUUGGUCAAUGGUCGGAAGACUGAACCAGCCAAGUAGCGUGAAGGAUGAAGGUUCUAUGGAUUGUAAACUUCUUUUAUACGGGAAUAAAACCUCCCACGUGUGGGAGCUUGUAUGUACCGUAUGAAUAAGCAUCGGCUAACUCCGUGCCAGCAGCCGCGGUAA
rnacentral:rRNA from 1 species